CACACGAUAACAGACUCGGUGCGGAUCAAGCUUACCCACACCGAUCUAAAAGUAUGACGGCCAACAGAAGUGGCCAGAAUAUCGUACAGGCAAACACUCGGCAUACCGAGGAUAAAGUUCGAUCAUGAGUCAGCUGGGCCCGCGUCAGGACUGGAGGGUUCCACAAAGGUAUGCAGGUCAAUUCCAUCAGCAAUGCGGGUCGCAGUCUCUAGGAAUGUCUCCAUGAAGUCUUCGAAUUGAAGCUUCUUCGUGUUGGCGACUUUCAAGGCUUUCAGCUUAUCUUCCCGCACUUCUUUGCAAUGGACUCGCACCAAGGACAGCGCCACAUCAGCACCGCAACGCGCUGCCGAUUUCUUCCAAGAUUGCACUCGGGCCGGAAUCUCCCCUAGUCGCCCCAACAGAGUCUCCAUCUUCUCCCGCGACUCGUCUUCCGGCCAAAGCUCCUUCUCAAUGCGGCCGAAGAUUUCUCUCAGUCGGUUGAUGAACGGACCCACUUUGCCUA
rnacentral:lncRNA from 1 species